AAGAGACAGCAGUAGCCGCGGUAAUACGUAGGUGGCAAGCGUUGUCCGGAAUUAUUGGGCGUAAAGGCUCGCAGGCGGUUUCUUAAGUCUGAUGUGAAAGCCCCCGGCUCAACCGGGGAGGGUCAUUGGAAACUGGGAAACUUGAGUGCAGAAGAGGAGAGUGGAAUUCCACGUGUAGCGGUGAAAUGCGUAGAGAUGAGGAGGAACACCAGUGGCGAAGGCGACUCUCUGGUCUGUAACUGACGCUGAGGAGUGAAAGCGUGGGGAGCGAACAGGAUUAGAGACCCCGGUAGUCCCUGUCUCUUAUACA
rnacentral:rRNA from 1 species